GUGUCUACCCUUCUGUUUGAGACAACCUCUCACCAGCCUGGAGCAUGCAGAGAAGGCUAGUCUGACUGACUCAUGAACUCCAGAGACCUGCGCAUUCUCAACAUUGAGAUUACAAAGGCACACUACCCGCCUGGCAUUUUUACCUGGAUUCUGUGGCACUGAGAUCAUGUCCUCAUGCAGGCAAGGGAAGAGAGAGCAUCUCCAUCCGUCGGCAGACUGAAGAAGCUGCCAUCACUCAUUGGCGCCGGGAUGCAGGCACUUAGAAACCAACGAAAAGUCUUGGAAGAUCUUCAGGGGGAAACCGGCAUAUCUCAGGCUAGCUAGCUGUACACUCCUUAAGUAGCUGAGAGUGACUGAACUUCGGAUUCUUCUGUCUCCACAUUCAAAUGCUGGGAUUACAGGAGUGAACCACCAUGUGUAAUUUACAGGCAAAACAAACAAACAACCCGAAAUCGCUGAUCUUCUUUCUUCCAGUCCUGAGCAACAUCACACCUAGAGACAUCGGGCACACCUCAACAGAGGGAUCAUCAGACUUUCUGAAACACUCCCACUUGCCAAAGGGUGAUCGGAAAGACACCGAGAAGAGGCAACACCAGCAGUAAAGACUUCUUUCUAGGUCAGGUUCUGGGGUUACCUUGUUUAGUUAUGCCUCCUCCCCUUUUAAGACUUGGUGCAAAUGAGCUUCCCCUCCUCCCUCUCCCUGGGUCACUUUCAGUUUGUUCGAACCAGCCCUGUGUGCAUUUGGGGUUGACAAUGAACCAGAAGUUCUUGGGCGUGAGAUGUGUUUAAGUUCCCAGUGCUGGCACCAUUAUCUUCAGACUCUGGCCACAUGAACUUGAAUUACUGAGCACUGUUAUCAUUGUCUCAGGACUUAGCUGAGAAAGGUCAGUUCAGACCCAGAGAGCCCAACUGAAGCAGACAGAACAUGGGCCCCUCCCUUGAUGACCUGCUCUCAUUUCAAGUUGAAAGAUGAUUCAGAUCUCAAAAUAAGAAAUGAUUUGCAAACUCAGUUGAAAAGAUGCAAACAUGAGUACCGCCAUCAUGCCCAUGGCCUUUGAGCCAGAAGGUCUGCUUUUUAACUCUAACUCUGCCAAGGAGGCAGGAAAACGCACACAUGGAUGGGGCAUUGGCCAUCUCAGACUCGAGUAGAGUAACAAAACCUGACCCACUCAGUGCUAGCUAAGAAAAUGAUGUUAUCGUAUGUGAUACCACAAACCCAAAUAAGACUUCAAAUGAUAUUUCCUACACAGAGGAAAAUACAUCUUAUUGAGCAAACUGUGUAUUUUUUUUAAAUGUAAGGAACAAGCUAUUUUUUUUUUUUAAUAAGAAAUCACAUAAACCUCCAGGCCUUUAUCGAUGUUUACCACUGGGAAGAGGGCAUCUUCUUUUUAGUCACUUCAUAUUUUGCUGUAUUUCUGAAAUUCUCUCCUAAAAACACCUAUUUAUUGGAUAAUGUAAAAUCCCAAGCCAAUACAUGUCAUUUUAAAAAGCUGGCAGAUAACACCAGUUUCUGUGAUCCUGCCUCUAUCUGAAACGUGGGACCAUGGUCAAGGGCACCACCACACGUGCGUCUCCCGGCCCCACGGUUCCAGGCAGGGCCUGUAUAUAGUUGUCAAAAGAAAGGUCCGUAACAUGCCUUCACGGCUCCCAGGCCUCUAUUAAUGCCGCAUGUGCUCCUGUAAGGUGAGUGAUUAAAUGACAUGCAAUAAUUGUCUCUCCUCUAAAGCAGGCAUUUAUUUUCCUCCAUGCGUGAGGCUCUGUUUUUCUAUCAUUUAUCACAACUUCACUGUAGGACUCAUCUCCGUGGGCUGUGUGUCUUGUACCUCUCUUUUUAACGCAAGCUGACCUAAACGGCCCCGGUCAGAAAUUAAAUAUAAUUACCUAUAGACUCGCACUGGGCAAAUGAGAUCGCGCGGGCUCCUGAAGCGGAACAAGGUGCGUUGGAGGUCUCUGCUCGUCCGUCUUCCCCAGAGUUAAUUUCUCCCCUCCUGGAGGACGCCUACGCACAGCCUCACAAUGACCUGUUUAGUUGGCAGUGGAAAAUGAUGUCAUUUGCAAGUAAGCUUUCAGCUGUGAUAUUUUAUAAUUGUUAAGAUGAAAACCCGAUAAUCCUCUCCCCCUUCACAUAAACUGCAAUCCAUCUUUAAACCUGUGAUAAUUCUCCAAACCUGCCGCUUAAUAAACUAACAAACCCCAGGCCUGUGCGAUUUUACGGGGAGUCAAUCUUUGAUCAGCCAAGCUGAAACGGGUCUGAUAAAGGGACGCCCUUCCACUCCGGAGUCACCACUUGAGUGGGUUAUUGCUGUUUCCUCCGGUCCUCCAGUGCCAAAUAAGCAGAGGUCUUCCCAAGCUCCUUAUCUCUUCCACUUUCUUCUUGAGAUCUCUGUCGCUUUAAUCCGGCAUGUCUGCUGCUGGUUAACAAGGAAAUCCUAUGUCAAUUAUCGCCAACAACUUCCUGCUGAGAAGCUGCAGGGAGUCAAAGUGUUUGAGAGCCUUUUCACACCAGAGAGUGGUGCAGGGCCUAAUUAAAUGGCCCUCAUAUCUUACAGCCUGGUGGAGGCCUUGUGAUAGAUAGCUAAUGAAAGAUAGCCUCAUUUGGCUAAGAACCUUUGAAGGCCAGUGGGCUGUCCAGCGGGUUGGAGGUGCACCCCAAAGUGGAGCUGCAUGGGACUCCUGCAGUUCCAGUGAGCAUAGA